UAGGGUAGUGGCUUAACAGCAGGUAGGACCUAUCAAAAACCUUUUUGCUUUCAAAAGCAGGUUUUUGCGGGUUCUGCUUAGGAAAGUCCGCCCACCAAUGAGAAUGUGACUAUCGGAAGAUAGCUGGUGAAAACCAGGGCAACGGCUCAGAAACGAGACCGCCUAAGCUUAGGAAUGAUGGUUCAGAAGCAUCCUGGUGACAGGUGCGAGUUAACGACCAGACCUAUGACUCUUAGGAAUGGGUGAAACGGCGAGUCCUCACCGGUGCAAGUCCUUUGAGACGCUUAGUAGAAUGUUAAGCACAACCCGCCCAUGGUUUUUUCUAGAAAGAGCUGUGGGGGUUGACAGAAGGCGGCUUAUAACUACUCUA
rnacentral:RNase_P_RNA from 1 species